AUUGAACGCUGGCGGCACGCCUAACACAUGCAAGUCGAGCGGCAGCGGGUAUAGUAGCAAUACUAUAUGCCGGCGAGCGGCGGACGGGUGAGUAACACGUAAGAACUUGCCGUAUAGAUGGGGACAACCAAGGGAAACUUUGGCUAAUACCGAAUGCACUCGAGAGAGGAAAGGUGCCUGGCAACGGGUGUCGCUAUCCGAGAGGCUUGCGUCUGAUUAGCUAGUUGGUAGGGUAAAGGCCUACCAAGGCGAUGAUCGGUAACUGGUCUGGGAGGACGACCAGUCACACGGGGACUGAGACACGGCCCAGCGUCCUACGGGGGGCAGCAGUGGGGAAUAUUGGACAAGGGGGGGAACCCUGAUCCAGCCAUGCCGCGUGUGUGAAGAAGGCCUUAUGGGUGUAAAGCACUUUAAGCGAGGAGGAGGCUACUGAGACUAAUACUCUUGGAUAGUGGACGUUACUCGCAGAAUAGGCACCGGCUAACUCUGUGCCAGCCGCCGCCGUAAAAC
rnacentral:rRNA from 1 species